rnacentral:rRNA from 1 species
GAUCCUGGCUCAGAAUCAACGCUGGCGGCGUGCCUAACACAUGCAAGUCGCACGAGAAAGUGGAGCAAUCCAUGAGUAAAGUGGCGCACGGGUGAGUAACACGUGAAUGAUCUACCUCCGAGUGGGGAAUAACUGAGAGAAAUCUUAGCUAAUACCGCAUAACACUUACGAGUCAAAGCAGCAAUGCGCUUGGAGAGGAGUUCGCGGCCGAUUAGUUAGUUGGCGGGGUAAUGGCCCACCAAGACGAUGAUCGGUAUCCGGCCUGAGAGGGCGCACGGACACACUGGAACUGAAACACGGUCCAGACUCCUACGGGAGGCAGCAGUGGGGAAUUUUGCGCAAUGGGGGAAACCCUGACGCAGCAACGCCGCGUGGAGGAUGAAAUCCCUUGGGAUGUAAACUCCUUUCGAUAGGGAAGAUAAUGACGGUACCUAUAGAAGAAGCCCCGGCUAACUUCGUGCCAGCAGCCGCGGUAAUACGAGGGGGGCAAGCGUUGUUCGGAAUUAUUGGGCGUAAAGGGUGCGUAGGCGGUUUGACAAGUCUGAUGUGAAAUCUAUGGGCUCAACCCAUAGUCUGCAUUAGAAACUGUCGGGCUUGAGUAUGGGAGAGGUGAGUGGAAUUUCCGGUGUAGCGGUGAAAUGCGUAGAUAUCGGAAGGAACACCUGUGGCGAAAGCGGCUCACUGGACCAU